rnacentral:rRNA from 1 species
AGUCGAGCGGUAGAGAGAAGCUUGCUUCUCUUGAGAGCGGCGGACGGGUGAGUAAUGCCUAGGAAUCUGCCUGGUAGUGGGGGAUAACGUUCGGAAACGGACGCUAAUACCGCAUACGUCCUACGGGAGAAAGCAGGGGACCUUCGGGCCUUGCGCUAUCAGAUGAGCCUAGGUCGGAUUAGCUAGUUGGUGAGGUAAUGGCUCACCAAGGCGACGAUCCGUAACUGGUCUGAGAGGAUGAUCAGUCACACUGGAACUGAGACACGGUCCAGACUCCUACGGGAGGCAGCAGUGGGGAAUAUUGGACAAUGGGCGAAAGCCUGAUCCAGCCAUGCCGCGUGUGUGAAGAAGGUCUUCGGAUUGUAAAGCACUUUAAGUUGGGAGGAAGGGCAGUUACCUAAUACGUGAUUGUUUUGACGUUACCGACAGAAUAAGCACCGGCUAACUCUGUGCCAGCAGCCGCGGUAAUACAGAGGGUGCAAGCGUUAAUCGGAAUUACU